AGCGAACGCUGGCGGCAGGCCUAACACAUGCAAGUCGAACGGACCCUUCGGGGUUAGUGGCGGACGGGUGAGUAACACGUGGGAACGUGCCUUUAGGUUCGGAAUAGCUCCUGGAAACGGGUGGUAAUGCCGAAUGUGCCCUUCGGGGGAAAGAUUUAUCGCCUUUAGAGCGGCCCGCGUCUGAUUAGCUAGUUGGUGAGGUAACGGCUCACCAAGGCGACGAUCAGUAGCUGGUCUGAGAGGAUGACCAGCCUCACUGGGACUGAGACACGGCCCAGACUCCUACGGGAGGCAGCAGUGGGGAAUCUUGCGCAAUGGGCGAAAGCCUGACGCAGCCAUGCCGCGUGAAUGAUGAAGGUCUUAGGAUUGUAAAAUUCUUUCACCGGGGACGAUAAUGACGGUACCCGGAGAAGAAGCCCCGGCUAACUUCGUG
rnacentral:rRNA from 1 species